ensembl:misc_RNA predicted gene, 27443
UUAUAAGGAAGGCGUCGGUCCUCCAUUUCAGCCUUUCUCUCUGGAAGGACUUAACGCUGGCAUUUCUGGUCUUGUAAACACAGGAGUUUUUUUUUUUUUUUUUUUUU